rnacentral:misc_RNA from 1 species
GCGGCAAAAAGGACGCAUCAACUGCUCUGUUUUGCCUAUGUACGGUGAAGGAGAACAAAAUUAGAGCGGUACAAGCCGGGGUUAUGAAACCGUUAGUUGAAUUAAUGGCGGAUUUCAGUUCAAAUAUGGUUGAUAAAUCCGCGUUUGUGAUGAGCGUUUUGAUAUCAAUGGUAGAAGCAAGGGCGGCGGUGGUGGAGGAAGGCGGAAUACCGGUGCUGGUGGAGAUCGUGGAGGUCGGGUCACAGCGGCAGAAGGAAAUCGCGGCGGCGAUAUUGUUGCAACUGUGUGAAGAUAGCGUUAGUUACCGUACAAUGGUGGCUCGAGAAGGCGCAAUUCCACCAUUGGUUGCUUUGUCACAGUCUGGUACAAAUCGCGCCAAACAAAAGGCGGAGACACUGAUUGGUUUGUUACGGCAACCAAGAUCCGGUAACGCCGCUGCAACAACACCAGGCAGAGGUUCUGAUGUGUCGUUUUGAUUGUCUGUCAACCACAUGUUUUGUCUCCCUUUUUUGUUUUUUUCUUUAUUUUGUAUUAUAGUUACUCAAAUAUAACCACAAAACAUUGUCA